rnacentral:lncRNA from 10 species
GUUUUUUCUUGAUUUCUAUGACAAUGAAGACUUUAAAUUUCCUUUUGUCUUUAUGAUUGUUCCUGCUAGUCAAUUCUGUCUUCUGACCAGGCCCUAAAAAAUAUUUUGCAGUCAUCUAUCCUCAUAUUUUUCUCUUAUAUAUGAUACAAUUAUAUUAAUGGAUGUAGGUAUUUUAAAAAUUAUAAAGAUACGUUUAUUUGCAAUGAUGAUUUAAUAAGCUUAUUUUCUCUUUCUCCAGAAAUACCGAUCAAAUAAUAUUCAAUAACAAAAUGAUACAAACCUACAAAAGGAAGGGCACAGGACAGGAAGAAGUAUGAACAAGAAAAAAAAAAUAGG